AGGUUUUCCAAUGCGCUGCAUGCCAGGCAGCUACAAUAACAAUAAAAAAGCCAACAGAGUACACCCCAAUACAUGUCACACAACCAUUUGAGUUGCUAGGGAUGGACCUGGUUGUGAAAUUGCUCACAACUCAGAAUGGACAUCAAUAUAUUUGUGUCAUGAUUGACUAUUUUACUAAAUGGCCACAUGCUUACACUCUGAAGUCAAAGUCAGCAAAGGAGGUUACUUCUUGCAUUGUAAAAUGUGUCCAUCAGUUUGAAGCCCCUAAAAGGAUUCUAACUGACCAGAGCAAAGAAUUUGUCAAUUCCAUCAAAAAGACAGUUUGUGAUAUUUUGAACAUCAAAAGGACCCUCUGCUCACCUUAUCAUCCGCAAACUAAUGGUUUGGUCGAGUGGAUGAAUGGCACAAUUCAGAGGUGAGCUCUUUGUUUUACAACAUUAAGAUUUAAUACUUUUUACAUUUAUACACUAUGCAAUAUUAACACAGAAAUGGCAUACAGAGAAAUGUAUAAAUACAAUAACGAAAACGAAGAUCCCAGUAACAAAUAUCAUGAUGAUUAUGUCAUAAAUAUAAUGUUUUGAAAUUGUCUUCAUUCUCAGAGCCCUGAGCAAACUGGUGGGUCAGCAUCCAGAUACUUGGGACGAUUAUCUGGAUGCUGUAAUGUUUGGUCUCAGUACAAAAAACAAAACAAAAUUUUCGCCCUAUUAUCUGAUGUUCGGCAGAGAGGCUCGAUAUCCAUCAGAAGUUCCUGAGCAUUACAUGGUUGGCUUCUAUAUUUUUAUUUUUAAAUCCUUUUUUCUAUUUAAAUCGCUCUAGAUGUGUAUAUCACAGGCAUGCUUAACACACCCUUAUGUAAUGGAAAUGUAAUUUUGGUUAUAGCUUGACAGCACCGUGGAGGACGUUGUGGGGCAGGAAGAAGUGGCCCAAGACAUACAACAACAACAACACUUAAUGGACGUUGUUCGACAAAACCUGGCCAAGGGACACGAAUAAACAACAAAAAAAGAAAACCUACUGAGACUACUCCUAUCUUCAAAGUUGGGGACAGCGUUUUAAGGCAAAACAUUAGGAGCCAACAAAGGAAGGGUGGGAAAUUGGAGGAAAAUUUUGUAGGGCCAUUUAUAAUCAAACAUAAAAGUGCUGACCUGCAGGACAAAAAUGGAGCACUCCUGC